GUGCUCAACUCAGCAGCACAUAUAUUGAAACUGCAAUGAAGCACAGAAGAUUAGCAUGGGCCCUGUGCAAUGACGACAUUCAAAUUUGUGAAGCAUUCCAUAUUGUU